GUAAACAUGUGUUACUUCACUCCUACACACCGUUUAAACGCAGCUAACAGGCUUUCUGAAUAAACCAGCCCGCCCCCGGCGGUAUCAGGAGUUAGGUUCCGCAUAUGCUGUCGCCAGGCUGCAGCCGCCUGAGGGGACUCGCCCGGGGCCCCGCCCUCAGAGCUCACACCCGCCGUGCGCUCGCGCCCCAGGGGCCGCCCCCCGACACUCCAGUGCGACUCUGCGUGCACAGGCCAGAGGCUCAGAACCAGCGCCGGGCUGCCCUGCUCGGCCUCCUGGGCGCAGCGGCGUUUGCCCGUGCACGUGCCCUCGCAUCGCGCGCUCCGGGGCCGGGCUCCGGGCGGUUCUCGCCGCUGCAGUUCCACCGGGACUUCCGCGCUUCGGCGGCCUGUCUGACGAGCCGCCGCGCCCAGAGAGGUUCAGGUUGGAGCGACACUUGCCAGAGGGCAGCGGUCACGCCAGAUCUUCGGCUUCCAUUCCGUUUUCGCGCGCUUCUCCCUCUUUGCAAGGUGAGUGGAGCUCGUUUGUGGAUGUGUUAGCACAGGAUGCGGGAAUCCUGUGAAGCGAGUCAAUUCGGAGCCCGACGUGAACCAGGUGGGGUGGCAGCGGGAGCGCUCACAGGGUGGAGGCCCGUAGUAAGGACGCCAGUCCUCAGGGGACUCUCGGGCAUGAACGGCAGAGGACGGUGUGUGUCUGUGGGGACAGACGGGCAGCGUGUGGCGGGGUGUGUGUGAGAGACGCGAGUGAGCGGUGGGAUGCGCCUCCGUGCCGUGGGUGUGGCUGCGAGGCUGUGACAGGUGAGUGGCUGUGCUGGGGUGACGGGGAUUUGGUUGCGUGUCCUUCACCUGUGCGGGUGUGAUGGCUGUGGCUUUGUGGCGUCACUGUCUGGUGGCUCUGGGCUCCCUGGCGCUUCCUCCUCUUCUCUCCUCACAGCCACUUGGCUGCAAGAGGAAAGUAGGAUAUUGAGCCCUAAAGGAAGAUUUCCAGCCAGGGGGCACCGAGGUAAAGUAAACCCUGAAUAGGAAUAGAUGCAUUGAAGGCCACUAGGGAGAUUCAGAUAAUGUGACUUGGUGUUUGAUAAGGCAGUGAUGUCAUUCUGACUGCAGCCACCACUGUCGGGUUGCGAUCAAACUAUGAUGACCUAUGAGAGCACCAUGAUGCUCUGGAUUCUCUUUGUUCUUUCCCAGUAGAGGAAUCCCAAGGAGGACUGAUCCGUUUUGGCAGGUGCACAACCAUGCCCUAGGCUGAAUUCCAGGAUCUGAGAACACUCCUGUUUGCAGGCAAUGUUCUCCCCGGAAGGGCCAUAAGAGGAAUGGGCAGAACAUCCUGUUUGCAAGCCAGCUCAGCCGCAACUCAGCUCCAUGAAAUGUCCUGUAUGCAAGCACAUUCAUGUUCUUAGGCCAGAUCUCCUUCAAUGUUAUAUGUCUAUUAUAUCAAAAUUUUAAAUAAACGAA
ensembl:lncRNA